CCCUUAGAUGUUCUGGGCUGCACGCGCGCUACACUGAAGCUAUCAACACGUUUUCCCUCCCUGAGAAGGGCGGGUAACCUUUUGAAUCAGCUUCGUGGUAGGGAUCGGGGCUUGCAAUUGUUCCCCGUGAACCAGGAAUUCCUAGUAGACGCGAGUCAUAAGCUCGCAUCGAUUAAGUCCCUGCCCUUUGUACACACCGCCCGUCGCUACUACCGAUUGUACGUUUUAGUGAGGCAUUUGGACCGACGCAUCUCAGUUUAACCGCUGGUUUGUGUUGGAAAGACUUCCAAACUUGAGCGUUUAGAGGAAGUAAAAGUCGUAACA
rnacentral:rRNA from 1 species